rnacentral:lncRNA from 1 species
CAGUUGUUGGUUCUGGUCCCGGUGUUGUGGGUUCUGGUGUCAGUUCUGGGCCAAUUGUUGGUUCUGGUCACAGUGUUGUGGGUUCUGGUGUCGGUCCUGGUCCAACUGUUGGUUCUGGUCCUGGUGUUGGUUCAGGUGUUGGUCCUGGUUCUGGUGUUGGUUCAAUUGUUGGUCCUGGUCCAAUUGUUGGUUCUGGUCCCAGUGUUGGUUCAGGUGCUGGUCCUGGUUCUGGUGUCAGUUCUGGUCCCAGGGUUGGUCCGGGUGUUUUUCCUGGUCCUGGUGUUGGUCCUGGUUCUGGUGUUGGUCCAGGUGUUUUUCCUGGUCCCGGUGUCAGUCCUGGUUCUGGUGUUGGUCCAGGUUUUGGUCCUGGUCCUGGUGUCAGUUCCGGUCCCAGUAUUGGUCCAGGUGUUGGUCCUGGUGUCAGUCCCGGUUCCGGUGUCGGUUCUGGUUCUGGUGUUGAUGACAGUCCCAGUGUCAGCCCCUGGUCCCGUUGUUGGACCGGUGUCGGUUCUGGUCCCAGUGUUGUUCUGGUCCUGAUGCCGGUUCUGGUUCUGGUGUCGGUUCUGGUCCCGGUGUUGUUCCGGUCCUGGUGUACCUUAUGGUCCUGGUGUUGGUCCCGGUGUCGGUUCUGGUUCUGGUGUCAGUUCUGGUCCUGGUGUUGUUCCCAGUCCUGGUGUCGGUUCUGGUUCUGGUGUCAGUUCUGGUCCUGGUGUUGUUCCUGGUCCCGGUGUUGGUUCUGGUUCUGGUGUCGGUUCUGGUCCUGGUGUUGUUCCCAGUCCUGGGGUACCUUACAGUCCCACUGUUGGUCCCGGUGUUGGUUCUGGUUCUGGUGUCAGUUCUGGUCCUGGUGUUGUUCCUGGUCCUGGUGUUGGUUCUGAUCCUGGUGUCGUUCCUGGUCCCGGUGUUGGUUCUGGUUCUGGUGCCGGUUCUGGUCCCGGUGUUGUUCCCAGUCCUGGUGUCCCUUACAGUCCCACUGUUGGUCCCAGUGUCAGUUCUGGUCCUGGUGUUGUUCCUGGUCCCGGUGUCGGUUCUGGUCCUGGUGUCGGUUCUGGUCCCAGUGUUGGUUCUGGUCCCGGUGUUGUUCCGGUCCUGGUGUCAGUUCUGGUCCUGUUGUUGUUCCUGGUCCUGGUGUCGAUUCUGGUCCCGGUGUCAGACCCAGUAUUGCUGUCAGUCCCACUGUUGGUUCCGGUUCUGGUGGUACUGCUGGUUCCGGUGUCGCUCCCGGUCCAAAUUUUAAUCCAGUCCAGGCUUUAUUCCCAGCCCAGCUCUUGCUCUCAACUCCAGUCCAGGUUUUACCGGUUCCAGUCCAGGUGUUGCUCCCAGUCCGGGUUUUAUUCCCACUCCGGGUUUUGCUUCCACUCCAGUCCAGCUCCCAACUCCAGUCCGGGUUUUACUGUCAGCUCCAGUCCGGUUUUUAUUCCCAGUCCAGGUUUUGCUCCCAACUCCAGUCCGGGUUUUAUUCCCACUCCGGUUUUGCUUCCAACUCCAGUCCAGCUCCCAACUCCAGUCCGGGUUUUACCGUCUGCUCCAGUCCGGGUUUUAUUCCCAGUCCAGGUUUUGCUCCCAACUCCAGUCCGGGUUUUAUUCCCAGUCCGGGUUUUGCUCCCAACUCCAGUCCGGGUUUUAUUCCCACUCCGGGUUUUGCUUCCACUCCACCUGUUGCUCCCAACUCCAGUCCAGGUCUCACCGCCAGCUCCAGUCCGGGUUUUAUUCCCAGUCCAGUCCAGCUCCCAACUUCAAUCCGGGUUUUACCAUCAGCUGCAGUCCGGGUUUUAUUCCCAGUCCAGAUCCCAAAUCCAAUCCGGGUUUUACCUUCAGCUCCAGUCCGGGUUUUAUUCCCAGUCCAGCUCCCAACUCCAGUCCGGGUUUUACCGUCAGCUCCACUCCGGGUUUUAUUCCCACCCCACCUGUUGCUCCCAACUCCAGUCCGGGUUCCAGCUCCGGAUCGGCUGCUAUUGGUCCCGGUUCCGCCGUUCCAGCCCCGGUUCGGUCGUUCCCGGUCCCGGCCCGGCUGCUAUUGGUUCCGGUUCUGCCGUUCCCGGUCCCGGUUCUGCCGUUCCAGCCCCGGUUCUGCCGGUCCCGGUCCCGGUUCGGCUGUUGCUGGCUCCGGUUCCGCCGUUCCCGGUCCGGUUCUGCCGUUGCCGGUCCCGGUCCGGCUGUUGUCAGCCCCGGUCCGGCUACUCUUGGUCCCGGUUCCGCCGUUCCCAGCCCCGGUUCUGCCGUUCCAGCCCCGGUUCUGCCGGUCCCGGUCCCGGUUCUGCUGUUGCCGGUCCCGGUUCUGCCGUUCCUGGUCCCGGUUCUGCCGUUCCAGCCCCGGUUCGGCCGUUCCCGGUCCCGGUUCGGCUGCUAUUGGUCCCGGUCCGGCCGUUGUCAGCCUCGGUCCGGCUGCUAUCGGUCCCGGUUCUGCCGCUCUUGGUCCCGGUUCGGCCGUUUCCGGUCCGGUUCGGCUGCUGUUGGUCCCGGUUCGGCCGUUUCCGGUCCG